ensembl:lncRNA
GCAGUGUGUGUCAAAUGACCAUAAAUAUGCAAAAAAAUAAUAAAGUGGUACAGAAAAGUUAAAAAUUCACAAAAUUCCAGGAAAUAUCCAGCAGCUAUUAGAAUAAGGUAAUUUUAAACAUUCUGUAUGCUACUUAAAAUACUGUAACUGGCUCCGUUUGUCAUUUUCUGUGAGGAAAACAUGCUAAAAGAUUUAACAAAGUAUUUUUUUAAAGUAUUUCAAAUAUUACCGUGAUGUUAAAGAUAAGUCUGUCUGAGAAGUUGCCUGUGAUUUGAAAUUAUUAAUCCACUGAAAUACACGAAGUCUUGAGCAUCAACUAGAGUGAAAACAUGAGGAAGUUCCUCAGUACAGAUUUCUUUAGAAAAACACGUCCAGUAAGUCGACGCCCACACGGAACAUGUAUUAAAAGUGCUGAUUCUCCAGACAAUUGAAUCACUCGCACCCCACCGGAGGACAAGAGCCGUUUGGAAACAGACAACAGUGAGUGUUGCAGAAUGGCAGAAUUUGAAGAGAUUAUUAAAGCGGUUGAAGAUGGGAUAGAAGAAGCGGAAGAAGCAUCUGAGGGACUAUCAGGAGAAGCACGAGAGGAAAUUGAAGAAGUAAUAGCCGAAACCCGCACGGCGAUUGAAGAGCUUUCUACAACUCAGAAUAAACUCCAAGAGUUCCUUAAGUCCAUCGGAAAUUGUGUAGCUAAAGUGGCCAAGUUUACUGCUGAAACUGUAGCGGUUGGCGCCAUCCUGUGGGGGGUAAAUGUUGCUUUAAACAAGCUGCUUCCACAACAUGACCAAAAAGAAACCAAGACACGCAUGCGUAAUGUAAUAAAGGCCUUGAGUGACGUGAUCAACACUGAAGCCACCAUAAACAAGAAGGUACUGGAAUGGAUGGAGGUCCACAAGGACGAUACCAUCACUCUGGAUGGAUAUGAAGUGUCUUUGGAAGCCAUUCUGACAAAAUACAUUAAACCAUUAGUUGAGGCAUCCGAAAAAGCCGAAACCAUCGCUGAAUCCCUCCAAGAAAAGGUUGAUGGGAAAACUCAGUUUAAAUGUCCAAGCGCAGAUGUCAUGAGAAAAUUCAUGGAUGUGACCGAUGUGUACAUCAAGGCCUUCACCGAUCUCAUCGCGUUCAUUAUGAAAAAUGUAGACCAUGUUGUAGAGCUGCAGAGCUUUCCGGUAAAAGAGGGAGAUGUUAUUGACCUAGCAGCAAAGCUGAAUGCUGCCAAGGACUUACCUCUGUGGUAAAAUAGAUUAUGAUUUGAUAACAUUACUCAGAAAUGGCAGAACAAGUUGUGUGUGUUUUUCUAGUUUGGAUAAGUUUGGCUAAUUCAACACUUUUAUCUACUGAAUUUAUUGAAUAUAGCACGUGGAACAAGAUCAAAUCAAAUGAACAUUUUAAUGGCAAUGCUAUCUUGUUUUACUUUUAAUUCAUUCGGCUUAUUUUCUUUAAACGUAUUUGCAUUUUUAUAACAAUUAUAUUUUUAAAAUGAAUCAUUUCUGAUUAAGAUUCAUGUAUUUCCUAUAACUUACUCAUAUGAAAAUAUUUUUAUGCCAGUGAUGUCUUAAUCAGUUAACUCUUAGAUUUUGGAUGAGUUUCAUCACCAGACUUUCUAAACCAGUCUCAUUAUGAAUCAGUGAACGUUGGUCAAUGUACAUUUCCUGUUUCAAAAUAUUGUCAUCAAAAGAUCUGCAACAUGAAUCUCCAUUUUUUUUUCUCCACUUGUAUCUGCAUUCAUCAUCUUCAUUAAAAGAAGUUCAUAAACUAUUUUGUCUUCAUUGAAUGAAAUCUUUUAAAGUUCUACAUUAGUGAUAUUAGGGAUUUCAAAACACCAAAUAAAUGAAGGAAUUUUAAUGAAAGAAUGUGACAAUAAUACACAAUGUAAAACAAGGGUUAGAACUGCAAAAGAACCAGGAUAGCGAAAAACAAGAAACGCGAAACCAAAAAUGAGAACGACGAGCACCUUUAGGAAAACUUGGAACGCAAAUCAGUUAAAUAAAAUAAUAAACAAAAUCAAAAAUAAUAAUAAUCAAAACAAACCCACUCAUGGGAAGCAGCUCUCGCCAUAUUGGAAAACCACAGCACACACCGAGAGGUCAUUUGUGAUGAACAUUUCUGAAUCUCUGAAGAUACUAAGCUAGCUUAGAGUUAGUUUCUUCUUCAUUCAGUAAGUGGUGUGUAUAUCUCAGCGUUCUCCAUUGCUCGGUUUGUCCCUCAGCAUUGUCUCCUUUGAAUAUCUCACAUUUCCUCACUGUCUAGUCAUCUAUCAAUACUGCAGCCACAUUCCAUUAGCAUGGAUGAGCGAUUUUUGUGUCGUUAACGGACCCCUCUGGCCACGACUGGCCUCAUCUACUGUGCACAUUUCCUCCUCUAACACGGAUUCUUCCCACGUUACAAAUAAUUCAGCCAGGUCAUGUUUACACAUGAUUGAAUGCAGGAUAUGAGAGUGAGCCUGGCAAACAUUCAUUACCAUGUCCUAUAGUACAAAUUAGACUUCAUGGGAGCCAUCCAAUCCUCAGACCAGCUGUUUAUCUGCCACAGAGGAAAGACACAAUGGCCUCCUUUACCUAUGUAGCAGUUGGCCCACUGGGUGGAGGACAUUAUCACCAAGCUCCCAUCGUGACAUACCAGAACAUGAGGAGUAUCUGCACCCACGGUCUCAUCUCAACAUCUUAUGCUUCUGUGGAAUUCUGUGGUUACCGUUACCCCUCCCAUUUUUCUUCACAUUAUUGUUAUCUAUUACCCACCUGGCUCUCUAGGAAACCUCAGUGAAGAGCUGGACAUUCUCCUUAGUCUCUUUUCUACACCUUGCUGUGCUCCUCUCAUAGCGCCCUCUUCUGUUAACAUUUUCAAUGCUUCGUCUUUCUGAAUUCGUUAGUAAGUUUGGCGAGUGUUGUGUGUGAUGCGCUCGCAAUGUUUCCUGCGAAAGUCCAUCGCAUCCUUGUGACAGUUUCCCGAUCCAGCCACGAGAACGAUUUCAAGAUGUUCUUUUGUCAAAGUGACUGAAAAAAAAAAAAUAUUAUAAACUAAGUAUGAAAAAUUUUGGAAGACAUUUUGCUGAAAAGUAUCAAUUUCUCCUAUGCAUGGAGACUUUUGGGACACGCUGUAUAACCCAUUAACGUUGGCAUCAUCUUGAAGUGGUAUUCCGUAAAUAAAUUUUCUUAAAGAUAAAAAACCCCAUGUGACAGGAAAGACAAGUGCAUGCGAAUCAGCAUGAACGUGUAUUCUUCGUAAGGCCUCUUAAAUAAGACUUUUUAACCUGUAUAUCUUUGUAGGACACUGUAUCUAAAGAGUGCCUUUUCAAAUACAAAUUAUUUGAUGAUCAGUUGAUCAUUUAAUUUGACUCCUUGAAGUCAUACAAUUUUGUACAUGUCUAACAUCCUGGCUUCCUUUACAAAAAUACUUACUAUGAAAAACAUUUUUAUAAAAUGAUAUCAGAAAAGAAUUGUCUGAAAUAAAUAUAUAUAUAUAUAUAU